UUAAAAUGCAGUAUGUUUUUUUCUCUGACAUUCUAAUGUUAACGAGAGUUGCAAAUUGUAUUAAAUCCAAAUAUUCAUAAUGGAUUUUGUAGAAACUAUCUAAAACCCAGCCAGCUCCAUGGCCUGGUGGUUAAGGCAGACAGAUCCCACAUGGCCGACCAUGAGGUUCGAGUCCUGGACUUGGAUGCUUGAGAGAGACGCUGGACGUGUAUGUACUUGGCCCGAAUCAUGAAAGGAGGAAGAAAUGGAGGAGAAGGAUCGCAGAGUGACCAUUCUCCACGAGGAAUACUUUCUCCUAUCUCUCUCUCUUUGGAUCCAGUUAGGAUUUUCCUGAUGAAAACAGAUGAAUUUAAGCACUUCUGAAAUACAUACCCAUACCUUUGUUUUCUAACACGACUGUGUCUCAAAAUGGAUUCUCAGGGUCAGGCCCUGAGUGCAGCAGUUAAGCACCACGCAGAGGAAGCCGGAUGGCACAUGGUUGACCAGGUGCAGGACAACUUGUGAACUAUUUGGGGCAAACAAACUACCAUGGCUUCACUUCUUAAAUGACAGUCCAUCUGGCUAAAGGUAAGCUCUAAAGAAAAAAGUGCAAUCGUAAGAUAUGUACUAGAAAGAAAUAUGGGUCGAUAUUUUCAUAAGCCUGGGAUCAGAAAUACGAUUCUAAAUACCUUACAGAAUAUAAAUACCAUGAAAAAAAAAUUGGGGG